AACGAACGCUGGCGGCAUGCCUAACACAUGCAAGUCGAACGAGACCUUCGGGUCUAGUGGCGCACGGGUGCGUAACGCGGGGGAACCUGCCCUUAGGUUCGGAAUAACUCCCCGAAAGGGGUGCUAAUACCGGAUAAUGUCUUCGGACCAAAGAUUUAUCGCCUUUGGAUGGGCCCGCGUUGGUUUAGCUAGUUGGUAGGGUAAAAGCCUACCAAGGCGAGGAUCCAUAGCUGGUCUGAGAGGAUGAUCAGCCACACUGGGACUGAGACACGGCCCAGACUCCUACGGGAGGCAGCAGUGGGGAAUAUUGGACAAGGGGCGAAAGCCUGAUCCAGCAAUGCCGCGUGAGUGAUGAAGGCCUUAGGGUUGUAAAGCUCUUUUACCCGGGAUGAUAAUGACAGUACCGGGAGAAUAAGCACCGGCUAACUCCGUG
rnacentral:rRNA from 1 species